GCAUAUCAAUAAGCGGAGGAAAAGAAACCAACAGGGAUUGCCCCAGUAACGGCGAAGUGAAGCGGCAAGAAGCUCAAAUUUGAAAUCUGGCCCCCUCGGGGUCCGAAGUUGUAAUUUGCAGAGGAUGCUUCGGGUGCGGCCCCCGUCUAAGUGCCCUGGAACGGGCCGUCAUAGAGGGUGAGAAUCCCGUCUGGGACGGGUGGCCGCGUCCGUGUGAAGCUCCUUCGACGAGUCGAGUUGUUUGGGAAUGCAGCUCUAAAUGGGUGGUAAAUUUCAUCUAAAGCUAAAUAUUGGCCGGAGACCGAUAGCGCACAAGUAGAGUGAUCGAAAGAUGAAAAGCACUUUGAAAAGAGAGUUAAAUAGCACGUGAAAUUGUUGAAAGGGAAGCGCUUGCGACCAGACUCGCCCGUGGGGGCUCAGCCGGCACUCGUGCCGGUGCACUCCCCCGCGGGCGGGCCAGCGUCGGUUUGGGCGGUCGGUCAAAGGCCCCCGGAAUGUGUCGCCCUUCGGGGCGUCUUAUAGCCGGGGGUGCAAUGCGGCCUGCCCGGACCGAGGAACGCGCUUCGGCACGGACGCUGGCGUAAUGGUCGUAAGCGACCCGUCUUGAAACACGGACCAAGGAGUCUAACAUCUACGCGAGUGUUCGGGUGUUAAACCCGUCCGCGCAGUGAAAGCGAACGGAGGUGGGAGCCCCCUCGCGGGGUGCACCAUCGACCGAUCCUGAUGUCUUCGGAUGGAUUUGAGUAAGAGCGUAGCUGUUGGGACCCGAAAGAUGGUGAACUAUGCCUGAAUAGGGCGAAGCCAGAGGAAACUCUGGUGGAGGCUCGCAGCGGUUCUGACGUGCAAAUCGAUCGUCAAAUUUGGGUAUAGGGGGCGAAAGACUAAUCGAACCAUCUGGUAGCUGGUUCCUGC
rnacentral:rRNA from 1 species